rnacentral:rRNA from 1 species
UACAGAGGUGGCAAGCGUUGUUCGGAAUUACUGGGCGUAAAGGGCGCGUAGGCGGUCUUGUAAGUCCUGUGUGAAAUCCCUCGGCUCAACUGAGGAACUGCACGGGAAACUGCUUGGCUUGAGUUCGGGAGAGGGAAGCGGAAUUCCGGGUGUAGCGGUGAAAUGCGUAGAUAUCGGGAGGAACACCCGUAGCGAAGGCGGCACUCUGGGCCGGAACUGACGCUGAGGAGCGAAAGCGUGGGGAGCAAACAGG